GGUAAGGCUUCCUUCGGGGGGUACACGAGCGGCGAACGGGUGAGUAACACGUGAGUAAUCUGCCCUUCACUCUGGGAUAAGCACUCGAAAGGGUGUCUAAUACCGGAUACGACACGCCCACGCAUGUGGUGUGUGUGGAAACUUUUGUGGGUGGGGGAUGUGCUCGCGGCCUAUCAGCUUGUUGGUGGGGUAAUGGCCUACCAAGGCUUCGACGGGUAGCCGGCCUGAGAGGGUGACCGGUCACACUGGGACUGAGACACGGCCCAGACUCCUACGGGAGGCAGCAGUGGGGAAUAUUGGACAAUGGGCGGAAGCCUGAUCCAGCAACGCCGCGUGAGGGAUGACGGCCUUCGGGUUGUAAACCUCUUUCACCAUUGACGAAGGCGCCCAGUGUGGGUGUUGACGGUAGGUGGGGAAGAAGCACCGGCCAACUACGUGCCAGCAGCCGCGGUAAUACGUAGGGUGCGAGCGUUGUCCGGAAUUAUUGGGCGUAAAGGGCUCGUAGGCGGUUUGUCGCGUCGGGAGUGAAAACAGCUGGCUUAACUGGUUGCUUGCUUUCGAUACGGGCAGACUAGAGGGAUGCAGGGGAGAACGGAAUUCCUGGUGUAGCGGUGAAAUGCGCAGAUAUCAGGAGGAACACCGGUGGCGAAGGCGGUUCUCUGGGCAUGUCCUGACGCUGAGGAGCGAAAGUGUGGGGAGCGAACAGGAUUAGAUACCCUGGUAGUCCACACCGUAAACGUUGGGCGCUAGGUGUGGGAUCCAUUCCACGGGUUCCGUG
rnacentral:rRNA from 1 species